GUGCUUGCUUCGGCAGCACAUAUACUAAAAUUGGAACCAUACAGAGAAGAUUAGCAUGGCCCCUGUGCAAGGAUGAUAUGCAAAUUCGUGAAGCGUUCCAUAUUUUU
rnacentral:snRNA from 1 species